rnacentral:pre_miRNA from 1 species
GUCCCUUGGGGUUCUUGUUAAAAUGCAGAUUUUGAUUCAGUAGGUCUUGGGUGAGUCUGAGAUUCUACAUUUCUAACAAGUUCCUAGGUGAUGCCGA